AGAGUUUGAUCAUGGCUCAGAUUGAACGCUGGCGGCAGGCCUAACACAUGCAAGUCGAACGGUAACAGGAAGCAGCUUGCUGCUUUGCUGACGAGUGGCGGACGGGUGAGUAAUGUCUGGGAAACUGCCUGAUGGAGGGGGAUAACUACUGGAAACGGUGGCUAAUACCGCAUAACGUCGCAAGACCAAAGAGGGGGACCUUCGGGCCUCUUGCCAUCAGAUGUGCCCAGAUGGGAUUAGCUAGUUGGUGAGGUAACGGCUCACCAAGGCGACGAUCCCUAGCUGGUCUGAGAGGAUGACCAGCCACACUGGAACUGAGACACGGUCCAGACUCCUACGGGAGGCAGCAGUGGGGAAUAUUGCACAAUGGGCGCAAGCCUGAUGCAGCCAUGCCGCGUGUAUGAAGAAGGCCUUCGGGUUGUAAAGUACUUUCAGCGGGGAGGAAGGUGUUGUGGUUAAUAACCGCAGCAAUUGACGUUACCCGCAGAAGAAGCACCGGCUAACUCCGUGCCAGCAGCCGCGGUAAUACGGAGGGUGCAAGCGUUAAUCGGAAUUACUGGGCGUAAAGCGCACGCAGGCGGUCUGUCAAGUCGGAUGUGAAAUCCCCGGGCUCAACCUGGGAACUGCAUUCGAAACUGGCAGGCUUGAGUCUUGUAGAGGGGGGUAGAAUUCCAGGUGUAGCGGUGAAAUGCGUAGAGAUCUGGAGGAAUACCGGUGGCGAAGGCGGCCCCCUGGACAAAGACUGACGCUCAGGUGCGAAAGCGUGGGGAGCAAACAGGAUUAGAUACCCUGGUAGUCCACGCCGUAAACGAUGUCUACUUGGAGGUUGUGCCCUUGAGGCGUGGCUUCCGGAGCUAACGCGUUAAGUAGACCGCCUGGGGAGUACGGCCGCAAGGUUAAAACUCAAAUGAAUUGACGGGGGCCCGCACAAGCGGUGGAGCAUGUGGUUUAAUUCGAUGCAACGCGAAGAACCUUACCUGGUCUUGACAUCCACAGAACUUUCCAGAGAUGGAUUGGUGCCUUCGGGAACUGUGAGACAGGUGCUGCAUGGCUGUCGUCAGCUCGUGUUGUGAAAUGUUGGGUUAAGUCCCGCAACGAGCGCAACCCUUAUCCUUUGUUGCCAGCGGUUAGGCCGGGAACUCAAAGGAGACUGCCAGUGAUAAACUGGAGGAAGGUGGGGAUGACGUCAAGUCAUCAUGGCCCUUACGACCAGGGCUACACACGUGCUACAAUGGCGCAUACAAAGAGAAGCGACCUCGCGAGAGCAAGCGGACCUCAUAAAGUGCGUCGUAGUCCGGAUUGGAGUCUGCAACUCGACUCCAUGAAGUCGGAAUCGCUAGUAAUCGUGGAUCAGAAUGCCACGGUGAAUACGUUCCCGGGCCUUGUACACACCGCCCGUCACACCAUGGGAGUGGGUUGCAAAAGAAGUAGGUAGCUUAACCUUCGGGAGGGCGCUUACCACUUUGUGAUUCAUGACUGGGGUGAAGUCGUAACAAGGUAACCGUAGGGGAACCUGCGGUUGGAUCACCU
rnacentral:rRNA from 2 species